CUGUUGACAGAGGUGGGUGGGAGACGGUGUGUGAUUGGCUACUAUACUGUUGACAGAGGUGGGUGGGAGACGGUGUGUGAUUGGCUACUAUACUGUUGACAGAGGUGGGUGGGAGACGGUGUGUGAUUGGCUACUAUACUGUUGACAGAGGUGGGUGGGAGACGGUGUGUGAUUGGCUACUAUACUGUUGACAGAGGUGGGUGGGAGACGGUGUGUGAUUGGCUACUAUACUGUUGACAGAGGUGGGUGGGAGACGGUGUGUGAUUGGCUACUAUACUGUUGACAGAGGUGGGUGGGAGACGGUGUGUGAUUGGCUACUAUACUGUUGACAGAGGUGGGUGGGAGACGGUGUGUGAUUGGCUACUAUACUGUUGACAGAGGUGGGUGGGAGACGGUGUGUGAUUGGCUACUAUACUGUUGACAGAGGUGGGUGGGAGACGGUGUGUGAUUGGCUACUAUACUGUUGACAGAGGUGGGUGGGAGACGGUGUGUGAUUGGCUACUAUACUGUUGACAGAGGUGGGUGGGAGACGGUGUGUGAUUGGCUACUAUACUGUUGACAGAGGUGGGUGGGGGACGGUGUGUGAUUGGCUACUAUACUGUUG